rnacentral:sRNA from 1 species
GGAAUAGGAACUUCUCCUAAAAGCGCACACGUCCUGUGUGCAACGGAGAACCCAGAACAUCCUGUUCA